GACGAACGCUGGCGGCGUGCUUAACACAUGCAAGUCGAACGGAAAGGCCCUGCUUUUGUGGGGCGCUCGAGUGGCGAACGGGUGAGUAACACGUGAGUAACCUCCCCUUGACUUUGGGAUAACUUUAGGAAACUGGGGCUAAUACCGGAUAGGAGCUCCUGCUGCACGGUGGGGGUUGGAAAGAUUCGGCGGUUGGGGAUGGACUCGCGGCUUAUCAGCUUGUUGGUGGGGUAGUGGCUUACCAAGGCUUUGACGGGUAGCCGGCCUGAGAGGGUGACCGGCCACAUUGGGACUGAGAUACGGCCCAGACUCCAACGGGAGGCAGCAGUGGGAAAUAUUGCACAGUGGGCGAAAGCCUGAUACAGCAACGCCGCGUGCGGGAUGACGGCCUUCGAGUUGUAAACCGCUUUCGACUGAAACGAGGCGUGAGUGACGGUAAUGGGUAAAAAAGCACCGGCUAACUACGUG
rnacentral:rRNA from 1 species